UUAAUUGAUCCCAGUAUGCUCUCCUGCUAAGGCCAACUUCAGAAUUCUUCUCCAGACAGCACUCCCUGUAGCCACAAGUAAUUGAUUGCAACCAGUUACCCAUGGUCAUCCCUGGUCUGGGAAGGAGGUGAUCCUCCUCUGACGUGUUAUCAGAAGGUUAACAAUAGCCUAAUGCUAUGUCACAAUGUCUAGGACAUUCAGCUUUCUUCAUUUCAUCAGAACACAUUACAUCAUCUCACAUCAUCACAAGAAGAAGGAUUAUCUUUUACUACUACAAAAUCAGAGCCUGUCCAUUGUCAUACAUCAGAAAAUAAGGACAAGCAAAAAUCACAGAACAAAAGUAUUCCCACCCCUCAGUAAGUACAAGUGCUAAGGGUUCCUGUACCAGUCAGCCUUUGGGGAGACAAGAACAAUGCCAAUGACUACCGAUUCCUCCCUUCAUCACCUCUCUCCUAAGGGGCAGAGAACUCAAGGAAGCUCUAACUUCCAUUUCUAGGAUUGUCACCACCUACUUUAUAGCAGAGAUUCAACUUUAUUAAAGGAUUCACUCAACUUAUUAGCCUGUUUGAGAAGAGCUCCCCACACUGUGUGCCUUGGCAUAUUGAGUACCAGGAAUGAUUUGCAAGUAUGUGGAGGCACAGAUUCUACUCAGCCCUCAAGAUGGUCAAGCUAGGCUUGGGGAAACAAACUACUUGAGCUGGCCAUGUCCUGCAAUGAAAUGCCUCAAUCCUUCAUCCCAGCAUGCCUUAAAGAAUUAGAACAAAUAAUCCUAAAAACUGUAUGGAACCACAGAAGACCCCAAUGAGCCAAAGCAACUUUGAAUAAGAAAAGCAAAGCUGGAGGCAUCACAAUUCCAGAUUUCAAGUUACAUUACAAAGCUGUAGUGAUCAAGACAAUAUGGCAUUAACACAAAAAUAGACACAUUGAUCAAUGGAUCAGAAUAAAAAAUCCAGAAAUGAA